rnacentral:rRNA from 1 species
GAUGAACGCUAGCGAUAGGCUUAACACAUGCAAGUCGAGGGGCAGCACAAGGUAGCUUGCUCUCUGGGUGGCGACCGGCGCACGGGUGCGUAACGCGUAUGCAACUUGCCCUAUACAGGAGGAUAACCCGUCGAAAGACGGACUAAUACUGCGUAUGCUCACAACUUGGCAUCAAGUGGUGAGGAAAGAAAUUCGGUAUAGGAUAGGCAUGCGUCCCAUUAGCUUGUUGGUGAGGUAACGGCUCACCAAGGCAACGAUGGGUAGGGGAACUGAGAGGUUUAUCCCCCACACUGGUACUGGGACACGGACCAGACUCCUACGGGAGGCAGCAGUGAGGAAUAUUGGUCAAUGGGCGCGAGCCUGAACCAGCCAAGUCGCGUGAAGGAUGACUGUCUUAUGGAUUGUAAACUUCUUUUAUACGGGAAUAACAAGAGUCACGGGUGACUCCCUGCAUGUACCGUAUGAAUAAGCAUCGGCUAACUCCGUG